rnacentral:rRNA from 1 species
AGAACGAACGCUGGCGGCACGCCUAACACAUGCAAGUCGAGCGCCCAGCAAUGGGAGCGGCGGACGGGUGAGGAACACGUGGGAAUAUGCCUUUCGGUUCGGCACAACUGCGGGAAACUGCAGCUAAUUCCGGAUACGCCCUUACGGGGAAAGAUUUAUCGCCGAAAGAUUAGCCCGCGUCUGAUUAGCUAGUUGGUGAGGUAAUGGCUCACCAAGGCUUCGAUCAGUAGCUGGUUUGAGAGAACGACCAGCCACACUGGGACUGAGACACGGCCCAGACUCCUACGGGAGGCAGCAGUGGGGAAUCUUGGACAAUGGAGGAAACUCUGAUCCAGCGAUGCCGCGUGAGUGAUGAAGGCCUUCGGGUUGUAAACUCUUUUACCAGGGUAAGAUAAUGACUGUACCUGGAGAAUAAGCUCGGCUAACUCGUGCCAGCAGCCGC